UAAGAUUAAUAAACAAAAACGAAGACCAUCGUAUUUUAACCUUUUCUUUUCCAACUUGUAGCAUUUUAGAGGGAAGGAAAUGCAUUGGGAUGAGAUAACGAAUUGUGGCGCUAUUCUAAUAAACUUGGCGUUCCGUUGUUCGUUCAAUUUCAAGGGAGAGAAGAGAGAGAGUAAUGGCCUCCUCUGCAUAUUCGUCUUGGCUCGUGCUCUCAUCCACCAGCACCAAACACAAACCCUUCUUCUCUGUCCCCAGCUGCUUCAAAUUCAAUGUUCCCAUCGCUUCACAAAUCCAAUGGCAUUCAGAUUCGUAUACCCAAAGAAACCUUCGUCCCCCUCCCGAAAUUAAACGCCAUUGGGUGGAAGCAUCUGAUAAAUCUUUGGAUUCUCCGGAAAGAUUCACAGUGGCCUCUUACAACAUACUGGGAGAUAGAAAUGCUUCUCAACACUCGGAUUUAUACGUAAACAUUCCUUCUCGUUACAUCAAAUGGGAUCGUCGCAAGAGGGUGAUUUCUGAUGAGCUUCUUGGAUGGGACCCUGAUAUUGUCUGCUUACAAGAGGUGGAUAAGUAUUUGGAACUUUCAGACAUUAUGGUUAAAGCAGGAUAUGCUGGAUCUUAUCAGAGACGCACAGGAGAUUCAGUUGACGGAUGUGCCAUGUUUUGGAAAACUGAUAAGUUCCGGCUACUAGAAGGAGAGAACAUUCAAUUUAAGGACAUUGGCCUUCGUGAUAAUGUUGCCCAACUGUCAGUUUUUGAGAUGUGUGAAUCUUACUCAAGAAGACUGUUAGUUGGUAACAUCCAUGUACUUUACAACCCAAACAGGGGAGAAGUUAAAUUAGGUCAAAUUCGUUUUCUCUCGUCAAGAGCACGGUGUCUCUCAGAGAAAUGGGGUAAUACCCCUGUUGUGCUAGCUGGUGAUUUUAAUAGUACUCCUCAGAGUGGAAUAUAUAAGUUUUUGUCAUCAUCUGAGCUUAAUGUCAAGCUGUAUGACAAAAAGGAAUUAUCUGGACAAAAACGGUGCCGUCCUGCUCAAGUUUUAGGGGAGAAUAAAGAAACCGUUGGUCCAGUUGUCACCCUAGACGGCUUGUUAUGUUGGACAGAUGAAGAGAUAAAAAUAGCAACUGGAGAUUCUCAGUGUCAUUUGGCUGUGCACCCAUUGAAGCUGAAUAGUUCGUAUGCUACAGUUAAUCUUUUCAGGGUUCAACAAGUACACGGGGAUUCAAUGAUGAACCCUUGGCAACUUCCUACCACUCAAAGUUUCUUGGCACUGUAGAUUACUUAUGGUACUCUGACGGUAUUGUACCUACUAGAGUUCUUGAUACCGUUUCAAUUAGUGAUCUCCUGAGGGCAGGUGGCCUACCAUGCAAGAAGGUGGGAAGUGAUCAUUUGGCCUUGGUUUCUGAAUUUACUUUCUCAGUUACAAACAAUGAACCUACAGACAUAAUGGCGGUAGGAGAAGCAGCACCAGCUAUAAGAUAUUGAAGAGCCUAACAAUCAACAGUCAUAAGGAAAACUGCUUUUUUCUUUCUUGUUUACUUAUAGUUGUACUUGUUGAUGUCAACACAGUGGUAUUCGUGGCAUUACUUGUCAUGCACCUUAACAAAGCCAAAAAGUUGUACCAUACUUUUUUGGAGGUAAAUGUAAAUGUAACAAAGUUACAACGUGAAAAAAA